UACGUCAUGUCCAAUCAACACGAAGCUAUAAAUAGUCAUAAUAUGUUUUAAAAUGAAGUUAUAAUACGUUUAUAAAUUAAACAACUUAAAAUUUACGAAAAAUAAAACUGUAUAAAUACCGACGAGACAUCCGAUACUUGUGUUAUUCGCAAGAUGAUGGACACUUUUACACGUCGGAUGACUUUGAAGAAUAAGAAUUGUUGGAGGUGAAUGAAUUUUUGCACAAGCGACUGUCGCCACUGAUGAAACAUAUCGUUACGGAAUAUAACGGCUCUUGACUAACGACGACAAACGCGCAAAUAUUACGUAGGCAUAAUUACAUUAGUAAUUAAUCAUUUUACAAUAUCACAGAGCCGUGAUAUAAAGGUUUCCCUGGAAAACAACUUUCAACUAUAAUAAAUUAUGCCAGUUGCG